rnacentral:rRNA from 1 species
ACAGAUGGGAGCUUGCUCCCUGAUGUUAGCGGCGGACGGGUGAGUAACACGUGGGUAACCUGCCUGUAAGACUGGGAUAACUCCGGGAAACCGGGGCUAAUACCGGAUGGUUGUUUGAACCGCAUGGUUCAAACAUAAAAGGUGGCUUCGGCUACCACUUACAGAUGGACCCGCGGCGCAUUAGCUAGUUGGUGAGGUAACGGCUCACCAAGGCAACGAUGCGUAGCCGACCUGAGAGGGUGAUCGGCCACACUGGGACUGAGACACGGCCCAGACUCCUACGGGAGGCAGCAGUAGGGAAUCUUCCGCAAUGGACGAAAGUCUGACGGAGCAACGCCGCGUGAGUGAUGAAGGUUUUCGGAUCGUAAAGCUCUGUUGUUAGGGAAGAACAAGUACCGUUCGAAUAGGGCGGUACCUUGACGGUACCUAACCAGAAAGCCACGGCUAACUACGUGCCAGCAGCCGCGGUAAUACGUAGGUGGCAAGCGUUGUCCGGAAUUAUUGGGCGUAAAGGGCUCGCAGGCGGUUUCUUAAGUCUGAUGUGAAAGCCCCCGGCUCAACCGGGGAGGGUCAUUGGAAACUGGGGAACUUGAGUGCAGAAGAGGAGAGUGGAAUUCCACGUGUAGCGGUGAAAUGCGUAGAGAUGUGGAGGAACACCAGUGGCGAAGGCGACUCUCUGGUCUGUAACUGACGCUGAGGAGCGAAAGCGUGGGGAGCGAACAGGAUUAGAUACCCU